UACGUAGGGUGCGAGCGUUUAAUCGGAAUUACUGGGCGUAAAGCGCACGUAGGCGGACUAUUAAGUCAGGGGUGAAAUCCCGGGGCUCAACCCCGGAACUGCCUUUGAUACUGGUAGUCUCGAGUCCGGAAGAGGUGAGUGGAAUUCCGAGUGUAGAGGUGAAAUUCGUAGAUAUUCGCAAGAACACCGGUGGCGAAGGCGGGUCUCUGGGCAGUAACUGACGCUGAGGAGCGAAAGCGUGGGGAGCGAACAGG
rnacentral:rRNA from 1 species